rnacentral:rRNA from 1 species
AGGAUGAACGCUGGCGGCGUGCCUAAUACAUGCAAGUCGAGCGGUAAGGCCACUUCGGUGGUACACGAGCGGCGGACGGCUGAGUAACGCGUAGGAACGUACCCCAAACUGAGGGAUAAGCACCAGAAAUGGUGUCUAAUACCGCAUGUGGCCUAAGGGCUAAAGCUUCGGCGGUUUGGGAACGGCCUGCGUCCGAUUAGCUAGAUGGUGAGGUAAUGGCUCACCAUGGCGACGAUCGGUAGCUGGUCUGAGAGGAUGAUCAGCCAGACUGGGACUGAGAACGGCCCAAACUCCUACGGGAGGCAGCAGUAGGGAAUUUUCCACAAUGGGCGAAAGCCUGAUGGAGCAACGCCGCGUGCAGGAUGAAUGCCUUCGGUUGUAAACUGCUUUUAUCUGUGACGAUAUGACGGUGCAGAUGAAUAGGGAUCGGCUAACGUCCGUGCCAGCAGCCGC